rnacentral:rRNA from 1 species
AUUGAACGCUGGCGGCAUGCUUGACACAUGCAAGUCGAACGGCAGCGCGGGCUUCGGCCUGGCGGCGAGUGGCGAACGGGUGAGUAAUGCAUCGGAACGUGUCUGUUAGAGGGGGAUAGCCCGGCGAAAGCCGGAUUAAUACCGCAUAUUUUCUACGGAGGAAAGCGGGGGACCUUAGGGCCUCGCGCUAACAGGGCGGCCGAUGUCAGAUUAGCUAGUUGGUAGGGUAAGAGCCUACCAAGGCUGUGAUCUGUAGCUGGUCUGAGAGGAUGACCAGCCACACUGGGACUGAGACACGGCCCAGACUCCUACGGGAGGCAG